rfam:Donggang virus, complete genome
UGCAGUCAGGCCUCACGAAUGUGAGCCACCGGAUGGGACUAGACGGUGCUGCCUGCGCGUCCCCCCACGCAAUCAAGCUAGAUGGUUGUCAUGGGC